AUUGAACGCUGGCGGAAUGCUUUACACAUGCAAGUCGAACGGCAACACGGACUUCGGUCUGGUGGCGAGUGGCGAACGGGUGAGUAAUGUAUCGGAACGUGCCCAGUCGUGGGGGAUAACGUAGUGAAAAUUACGCUAAUACCGCAUACGAUCUAUGGAUGAAAGCGGGGGAUCGCAAGACCUCGCGCGAUUGGAGCGGCCGAGAUCAGAUUAGGUAGUUGGUGGGGUAAAGGCCCACCAAGCCAACGAUCUGUAGCUGGUCUGAGAGGACGACCAGCCACACUGGAACUGAGACACGGUCCAGACUCCUACGGGAGGCAGCAGUGGGGAAUUUUGGACAAUGGGCGAAAGCCUGAUCCAGCCAUUCCGCGUGCAGGAUAAAGGCCCUCGGGUUGUAAACUGCUUUUGUACAGAACGAAAAGGUUUCUACUAAUACUAGGAGCUCAUGACGGUACUGUAAGAAUAAGCACCGGCUAACUACGUGCCAGCCGCCGCAGUAA
rnacentral:rRNA from 1 species